rnacentral:lncRNA from 1 species
CGGCCGCCUAAGUCCCACAGAGACGGGAGUCGGGUGGGAUCCCAGGCUGGGCCCCGCGGCGGCUGGAUUCUCUUCCCUGGCCAAGUCUCUGAGAUCUUCUCCCAGGGCGAUGCAAAGCUACUCGCUACCAGCUUGGACCUGUCUGCAGUAUCUCCUCUGGGACCUGCCAUGCUGAGGACCCAUUCUCACCUCUGAGGGACUCCUGUCCUAGGACUAAGGUGGAGCCUGGGCCAUGGUACAGCUGGCUCCUGCGGCAGCCAUGGACGAGGUCACCUUUAGGAGCGACACUGUGCUGUCAGAUGUCCACCUCUAUACCCCGAACCAUAGACAUCUCAUGGUACGGCUGAACAGCGUGGGGCAGCCAGGUAAGUUUUCCUGUCCCAAUUCAAGCUUCUAUGGAGCCAAGACUCUUGGACAGAUUCAGGAGCCAAGGGUGGCAGUCACAGAGAUGUUCACACAAAGGAGCCUCCUUCUGCUGAGACAGGCAGCACAGGGUCCCCUCCAGGAAGUGGCCAUGGUAAUGAGGGUUUCUCCCUCCAGGCCGGGACUGACACCACUGGCCAGGAAGUGGCUGAAGCUCAGCUGGAUGAGGAUGGGGAUUUGGACGUGGUGAGAAGACCACGAGCCGCCUCUGAUUCCAACCCAGCAGGGCCUCUGAGAGACAAGGUACAUCCCAUGAUUCUAG